rnacentral:misc_RNA from 1 species
AAAGUCGUAACAAGGUUUCCGUAGGUGAACCUGCGGAAGGAUCAUUAAAAGAGACGUAGCCCGGGGGGGAAACCCCCCGGGCACAAUCUCCACCCCCUGAAUGUUAUACCUUAGUUGCUUUGGCGGCGCUAGGCCCCGGCCGACGCCCGCCAGAGGCCAAACUCAAAACUCUUGAAGUAAACCAUGAAGUCUGAUUUAUUACUAUGAAAAUAGCCUAAAACUUUCAACAACGGAUCUCUUGGUUCUG